ensembl:lincRNA
GGGAUGCAACAUGGUGCAUCUGGGAGGCCUGCUAACUGGCUAACUUCUCCGGCGUUCCUCCCGGCCGAGGCGUGGGCACAGAAUAGCGGCGGCACCGGCGCCGGUGAGGCCCAGAUAUGGUGUCUCGAUACGGCGCGGAAGGUAAGCGACCCCCGGGCCGGCGGGUCGGGGAAUGGUGCUGACCUUGGAGGCCUCGGUCCGCCACGCCGCCCUUGCGCCUAAGGUCGCCGAACGACCGCCGCCCCCCACCCCUCCACUUCCGCCUCAGCAUGGCCACCCUGGCUCGACUACCUGCACUGCAUGGUUCACCGACCUGUGAGCCCACGGAUCUGGCUGUGAGCCCAGCCUUCGGCAUCACAACUCAUUCCUUCCUCCAGCGCCGGUGCGUCUCAGGCCAUUCAUUCCCUGCGCCUUCCAGCAUCUGCUCCUCCAGCUUUUGCAGAUCAUGGCAGGGGCGCCUGCCCAACCCCCCCCNCCCCACCACCACCACCACCACCACCGGGAUGCGGUUCUCCAGCUUCCUCUCGCUGCUCAUCCCAGUUUGAAGACAUCAUUUUCCAGUUUUGGAGCCGACUAAUGAACUAGUUCUUAAGUGAAAGGCAUUUAACACGACUGUGCAUCUACAGGUACUAGGUUUCCAAGAUGCCUUUCCAGACUAAAACCCACACAUGUGAGCCGCUGGCCGGACAAACAUCUGGCACCUAACGUGGGGCUGAAAAACAGCAGAGGACAUUUGGAAGAAACACUGCUGGUUUGGAGCUCCAUAGAAGAAGAAAAUAAUUAAAGGAAAUUCAUACCAGAGAAGGUCAGUAUGGGCUAAGCUGAAACAGCGUUUAACCUGAGCGCUAAUUCGCUUAGGUUCAGCAGUGAGGCAUCUCAGGAGCUAGGAACGUAACAGGCGGUUAGCCAUAGCUCCCAGAAGCUACAUUUUUAGGCGUGAGAAAAGAAAGGGUUUAUUAAAAGGAAAUUAAUAAUAAGGCGGA